UUUAACUUGAGAGUUUGAUCCUGGCUCAGGACGAAACACUGGCGGCAUGCCUAACACAUGCAAGUCGAACGAGAAAGUUCCUUCG
rnacentral:rRNA from 1 species